ACGCGCCCGGGCGGCUCCGUAAAAAAAAAAAAAAAAAAAAAGAAAAAAGAAAAAAAGAAGCACUGAUCUCGGUGUGACAGCUCAGAGCUGUCCACGUCAACACACCGAGCGAGCACGGCGGCGGCGGCGGCGGCAGCGAUGGACUCCUCGUCUCUGGAACCUUCCCUCUACACAGUGAAAGCUGUUUUCAUUCUAGACAAUGAUGGCAACAGACUUCUGUCAAAGUACUAUGACCCUGAGCUUUACCCCUCCAUGAAGGAGCAGAAGAACUUUGAGAGGAACGUUUUCAACAAGACACACAAAGCAGACAAUGAGAUAGCUUUCCUGGAGGGGAUGACCAUCGUAUAUAAGAGCAGUAUAGAUCUCUUCUUCUACGUGGUGGGAAGUGCUCAGGAGAACGAGCUGAUGCUGAUGUCAGUACUGAACUGCCUGUUUGAGUCCCUCAGUCAGAUCCUCAGGAAAAAUGUGGAGCGGAGGUGUUUACUGGACAACAUGGAUGGAGUGUUCCUGGUUGUGGAUGAAAUCAUUGAUGGAGGGGUGAUUCUGGAGAGUGACCCCCAGCAAGUCAUACAGAAGGUCAACUACAGGCUAAUGUCAGAGCCAGCCUAUGGCUUUGUCCUGUUUGAUUACAUCACCGGUAACCUAGAGGGACAAACAGACAAGAGCCAGCUGCUGUAGACAGACAGAAACACAGAGGGCAGAUGAAAACCCAUUAUCUGAACAAAGCGUGGCCCAGGUUCUGCAGUCGGCCAAGGAGCAGAUCAAAUGGUCCAUAUUGAAAUGACCAGAAAAAUGUAGGAUUCUCAAGAAAGCUCUAGAGAACGUUUCUAGUCCCAAAGCCUUUUUUUUAUAUAGUAACAGACUAAAGUGAAGGUCAUUACAAGCCUGUUGGCUGAUGCUGCUUUAUAUAGCAGUUAACCAGCCAAUAAUAGGAUGUGUGAUGGCAUUUUGUUACAUUGUGUGUGACAUGCAAUUAAUUUAUUUGGUUUGAGAGUGAUGUCAGUUGGCACUUAUGUAGAGAUAGCAUUUAACAGGCCAAAUGACACCAGAAAAUGAAAGGAAAAGUGAAGACUUGAGUCUCAAGGUCCAACUGUGCUUCUGUAUAAGACUGGUUCUGUAUAAGAUUAGUACCAAACUAAUCAAUGAAAAUAUUGGAAGCCUGAUUAGUUACUUUUAUUUUGGUGGAGCAGGAUCUUCCACUCUCAUUUACUCACAACAGAAAUGUUACAUAUGCCAAUAAUUUUGGAACAAUCUUGUUACCAACAUUUUAGAAAAUAAAAUACCCUGUAAACUGUUAGUAUGUAUAAAUACUUUACCUAAACAUUCAUAUCAAUCUAAGUAUAAUCUGGAAAAUAGAAAAUAAGAAUAGACACAGAAACAAACACUACUGCAGCAAAAAUCUGCAUAUUCAAGCUAAAAAGCUGAAUAUCACAUACAAGAAAAUGAUUUAUAUCAUUUGAACCAUGUCAUUUAUCAAGGGUGGUGUUAAAUUCACACACACACACACACACACACACACACAAACUGACAUAAUUUGUGUACUGAGUUUAAUAAAGUUUGUUGUUCUGACUGUGCUCUUUAAACAACACAAAUGUGUUUUAUAAAGCUAUUUAAAGACUGUAAAGGGGAUUUUAUCAUGCUUUAUGACACUAAUCAAAUGUUAGCAUUACGUUUAAGAGGCAAUAUGUUACUGUUGAACUGUCAGUAAAACCCUUAUUUUCCUUAAAAUGGAAUUUCCUCAUGAAGGAAAAUGAAUAUCUGUACAUAUAAUUAAUCUUUAGAAUCAAAGGGACCUUAAAGAAUAUUGACAUACAUGAUUUUGUGGCCAGAAUUAUAAAGAAUAAUAUCUAUUUUCUGAGAGUUAAAUAUGUAGAUUUUAAAUAUUUUCUUAGCUGAAAAGAAGAAAAAAGCCAAAGACAAACUAAUUAUUUUGUUUACAUUUGGAUGUUGUUGAGACAAACUGCCAUUUUGUCUGAUAUAGGGCAUUUUGUCCCGCCAUUUGUGAGACUGAUAAUAAAACUGUAAAUUGUA